AUACGGAGGGUGCAAGCGUUACUCGGAAUUACUGGGCGUAAAGGACGCGUAGGCGGUUUAGAAAGUCAGAUGUGAAAGCCUAUGGCUUAACCAUAGAACUGCAUUUGAAACUUCCAAACUAGAGUGGGGGAGAGGUCAGUGGAAUUAGUGGUGUAGGGGUAAAAUCCGUAGAGAUCACUAGGAAUACUCAUUGCGAAGGCGACUGACUGGAACUUAACUGACGCUGAGGCGUGAAAGCGUGGGGAGCAAACAGGAGUAGAUACCCCAGUAGUCC
rnacentral:rRNA from 1 species